rnacentral:rRNA from 1 species
CGCGUAGGCGGUGCCACAAGUCACCUGUGAAAUCUCCGGGCUUAACUCGGAGCCUGCAGGCGAAACUGUGGUGCUGGAGUAUGGGAGAGGUGCGUGGAAUUCCCGGUGUAGCGGUGAAAUGCGUAGAUAUCGGGAGGGACACCUGUGGCGAAAGCGGCGCACUGGACCAUAACUGACGCUGAGGCGCGAAAGCUAGGGGAGCAAACAGGAUUAGAUACCCUGGUAGUCCUAGCCCUAAACGAUGGAUGCUUGGUGUAGCAGGUACCCAAUCCUGCUGUGCCGCAGCUAACGCGUUAAGCAUCCCGCCUGGGGAGUACGGUCGCAAGGCUGAA